UGUUCAUUUGUCAGGAAGAGAGAGCUUCUUUGCUGUCUUGUGUUGGUUGUUGCCCAGUGACAGUUCUGUUGACACUAUUUGGUAGCCGCUACUUCUAAGGUAAGACCUGGAUGGACUACCCCCUGUAUUUUGGUUGGUGCGCCAGGAGGUUCUGAAAGGUUAGGGCAAACCCGGACGACGCUGGGCCAAUUGUGCGCCUCCUUAUGUGACUCCCUAUCACUGCCGGUUGUGAUACAGCCUUGAAUCGAACCAGGGUGCCGCCUCAAGCUCUGAGAUGCAGUGCCUUAGACCCUCAAGCGCUGAGAUGCAGUGCCUUAGACCGCUGCACCACUCGGCAGCCCCUCAUGCAAGGGUUUGUCCAUUAUUAGCCUAUGACCUAAACAAAACAUUAUAUCAAAUGUUUGCUUGCAUAUAAUUGAAGGUCAAUAUUCCUGCCUUAAUGUUCAGGAGUACAUGUCAAGGAACACCACAGGGACAUUUUAAUAGAUAUAGUCUGGUGGCUUCAGUAUAAAAUACUUGAUGAAAUUCCUAGACUAAAGGGUAAAUAAAAACACAUUCAUGUUGUACAAUCAAUUAUAUAUGGAUGUGUUUGUCCUAGACUAAAGAGUAGAUAAAAACACAUUCAUGUUGUACAAUCAAUUAUAUAUGGAUGUGUUUGUCCUAGACUAAAGAGUAGAUAAAAACACAUUCAUGUUGUACAAUCAAUUAUAUAUGGAUGUGUUUGUCCUAGACUAAAGAGUAGAUAAAAACACAUUCAUGUUGUACAAUCAAUUAUAUAUGGAUGUGUUUGUCCAAGACAGUUUCCAGUAAUCACUUCCAGUAAGCUGAGAUUGCCAGAGGCAAGAAGUAAAACAAAAAAAGCAUGACCAACUGAGACAUUACUUACACUGUCCUGAGACCCUGGAGAAGAUCUACUCUAGUAGCUACAGGUGCAUGAUAAGAGACAACUGGUUUACAACAACAAUCAAUGACAAGUGAUACUGACCUGAGAAAUAGUUUGUCAGCUUUAAUGUGCAUUUGUUAGGUUAACAUCUGUAAAUCUUAUUCUGUUGUACUGUAGCCUUGUAAAGACUCAUGGAGACAACGUGUCGUCUCUUUUCCACAACUUUAUUGUCUUGAUAAGGUCAAUCACAAUCAUAAGUUGUUCACUUAUAUUACACCUUGAGGUAAUGAAUCACACAGCUGGGAGAUACAGGAGAAUAUUCACACAUUAUAGAGCGUGUCGGUCUAAUCCUGAAUGUUGAUUAGUUAAAACGGCAUUCCACCCGGUGCAUAUUCCACAAGCUACCACCGGCUAAAUCUAUGACUUUAAAAUGCCUAUUUACUCUGUUCCAACUGACUGCGCAAUCCACUGUCUCAUCAGCCCAGCCAGGCAAUUUAUAAACUUGAUAGAAUGUUCACACAAUCACAUCUCUUUGUACUAAUACAACAAAUGUACCAUUUUAGUCUAGCUUUAGAUAGCUGUACUGUUAUUAUAGUGAAGCUGAGACUGAUGAUUAGAAAGAUACUGUUAUUUUGUUACAAUGGUACAAAGUCAAAUGAUGAAAAAUACACCUUAUGUGCUCCAUUACUGGAUGGCUCACAUUUUUUCUAAACCUGAAUUAAACAAGCGACAAC